GCCGCCGUAGCUUAACUAAAGCAUAACACUGAAGAUGUUAAGAUGAACUGUAAAAAGUUCCGGAAGCA
rnacentral:tRNA from 1 species